rnacentral:rRNA from 1 species
GAUGAACGCUAGCUACAGGCUUAACACAUGCAAGUCGAGGGGUAACGAGAGGAAAGCUUGCUUUCCUUGUCGACGACCGGCGCACGGGUGAGUAACGCGUAUCCAACAUGCCCCCAACUAGGGAAUAACCUUGCGAAAGUAAGACUAAUACGCUAUAAUUUCCUCAGAUGUCAUCUGACGAGGAAUAAAGAUUUAUCGGUUGUGGAUGGGGAUGCGUCUGAUUAGCUUGUGGGCGGGGUACCGGCCCACCAAGCCAACGAUCAGUAGGGGUUCUGAGAGGAAGGUCCCCCACAUUGGAACUGAGACACUGUCCAAACUCCUACGGGAGGCAGCAGUGAGGAAUAUUGGUCAAUGGGCGUAAGCCUGAACCAGCCAAUUAGCGUGCAGGAUGACGGCCCUAUGGGUUGUAAACUGCUUUUAUACAGGAAUAAAGUUAGCCACGUGUGGUUAUUUGUAGGUACUGUAUGAAUAAGGACCGGCUAAUUCCGUGCCAGCCGCCGCCGUAA